AUGGUGAUGAUUUUGUACAGAACGCACAUGUACAAAAAGCAUUCACAUGGUACACAUGCACAAGGCACAGAGGAGACGUGAACAACGAGGGGCG